rnacentral:rRNA from 1 species
AUUGAACGCUGGCGGCAGGCCUAACACAUGCAAGUCGAACGAGUGGCGGACGGGUGAGUCAUGUCUGGGAAACUGCCUGAUGGAGGGGGAUAACUACUGGAAACGGUAGCUAAUACCGCAUACCAUCGGAUGUGCCCAGAUGGGAUUAGCUAGUAGGUGGGGUAAAGGCUCACCGAGGCGACGAUCCCUAGCUGGUCUGAGAGGAUGACCAGCCAUACGGGACAUGUGAUACGGUCCAGACUCAGACGGGGGGCAGCAGUGGGGAUGAUUGCACAAGGGGCGCAAGCCUGAUGCAGCCAUGCCGCGUGUAUGAAGAAGGCCGUCGGGUUGUAAAGUACUUUCUGCGGGGAGGCGUUACCCGCAGAAGAAGCACCGGCUAACUCCGUGCCAGCAGCCGCGGUAAUUC